AUUGAACGCUGGCGGCAGGCCUAACACAUGCAAGUCGAGCGGAAACGACACUAACAAUCCUUCGGGUGCGUUAAUGGGCGUCGGGCGGCGGACGGGUGAGUAAUGCCUAGGAAAUUGCCUUGAUGUGGGGGAUAACCAUUGGAAACGAUGGCUAAUACCGCAUGAUGCCUACGGGCCAAAGAGGGGGACCUUCGGGCCUCUCGCGUCAAGAUAUGCCUAGGUGGGAUUAGCUAGUUGGUGAGGUAAUGGCUCACCAAGGCGACGAUCCCUAGCUGGUCUGAGAGGAUGAUCAGCCACACUGGAACUGAGACACGGUCCAGACUCCUACGGGAGGCAGCAGUGGGGAAUAUUGCACAAUGGGCGAAAGCCUGAUGCAGCCAUGCCGCGUGUAUGAAGAAGGCCUUCGGGUUGUAAAGUACUUUCAGUUGUGAGGAAGGGGGUAACGUUAAUAGCGUUAUCUCUUGACGUUAGCAACAGAAGAAGCACCGGCUAACUCCGUGCCAGCAGCCGCGGUAAUACGGAGGGUGCGAGCGUUAAUCGGAAUUACUGGGCGUAAAGCGCAUGCAGGUGGUUCAUUAAGUCAGAUGUGAAAGCCCGGGGCUCAACCUCGGAACUGCAUUUGAAACUGGUGAACUAGAGUGCUGUAGAGGGGGGUAGAAUUUCAGGUGUAGCGGUGAGAUGCGUAGAGAUCUGAAGGAAUACCAGUGGCGAAGGCGGCCCCCUGGA
rnacentral:rRNA from 1 species